CGAAUACGUGGAGAAAUACAAUCAACAGCAGAAAUCAGAGCAGCUUGUUGCAGAAGAGGCUUCACCAAAGACAUCCGAGGUAGGCGAAGGCAGGCACCUAAUGGAAAAGGUCAAGUCUGCGGAAGAGAACAUUAACAAAGCAGAUAGAGAGGACAUGAAAAGAAAUCGGAAGCAGUCGUUCCCUACAUGGAUGAUGUUGCUACUCUUCUCGAUCUUCGGCGUGUUAAUGGCAUUGCCUCUCCUUCAACCAUGAAACCGCAAAAUGGAAGGUUGCAUAGGUAAUGGUAGACAGACUAGUUUGUGCCAAG
rnacentral:misc_RNA from 1 species